CACUAUCAAGAUACUAGUUAACUAUACAACCAGAAAUAGGGCUCUCCAGGCUCGCAAAUGCUUGUAAUUAUUACUGCCUGCAAGAAAUCAAUCAGUAUCAUUGGGAUCUACCACUACCCCUAAUUUCAAAAAAAAUCUUCAUUUUUAUAAAAGUCUGUUCUUUGAGGGUAAGGCAUAGGGUGGGAAAGAGACCUAGUUUUAUUUUAAGCAAAAAUGGUGUUUUAUACUUUUUCCCAAAGCCCAGGUGUAAGUAGGCAUUUUUCCUUUAGGAUAGCGUGGUUGGACUCAGGCUGGCUGUUGGAGUAUAUUAUACAUCUUCAGGGACAGAAGUACAAAUCCUUACUGGUUGCCAUCAACCAAAAAAUUUUUAAAAAUUGCAGAUAACAUAUUUUCUACGCUUCUAAAAUUAAAAUUAGCAUUUGAAAAAUAUCUAAACAAAUGACAGUAAUGACUCUAAAAUACCGAAAGCUUCCCCUUGACUUGUAUUUUCAUUUUCUUUCACUUUGUUUGCCUGCAACUUUGCAACCUUGGUGGAUUCUCUGUAUCAGACCAACUAUCUAAGGCUUCCUUGCCUUUUGCUUUUCAUCUGGAUCAGGUUUACACUGUGGUUGGGAACACCUUCUUUUCUUUUUGUGUUCUGUUUUGUUUCUUUGUUUGUUUUUAUUAUCAGAUGCCCAUUGAACGGGGAACAACCCAUUCUAGCUACAAAGUGAACCUGUUUUUCUCACCUCCUGGUGCCACAGGCAAGGGCUGGUUUUCUGUGAAGAGGAUCCCUUGCGACCAGGAUCACAGAGUGCUCGAAUUACCUGCCAAGUGCUUGCUGUGUAAAUUAUAGCUUCCUGUCUGUCGAAAGGUUGAAAAUAAGGUCCAAGGAGAAACCAUAUCUUACCCUGGGAGAAGUCUGUCUCUAGAGGAGGUGAACAGCAGUAGUACCAGGAACGUUGACACUUGUCUCCAAGAACAGCUGUGUUCCAGGGACCCCACACCUGCCUUUGACUUGUGGUAUCUGCAUGCCUGGGGCGAAGUGAAGAGUAUCAUUGAAUAGAAAUCUGAGUCUUCUUUCAAGUAUCUCUGCAUCAAUCCCAGUGGCUCCAGGUAGCUCCUGUCUAUAGUAGACCCUGAGAUUACUGUCCCUGUUGAUUACGAGACAUAAUUGAGAGUGUUGCAGGAAGCUGGGAUGAGUGAAGUCUGGGCUCAUUUAGGAUGGAUGUCUCUUUCCCGUCAGGUGGCACAGCGCUUCCACUGGUCAAGUAGGCACAGGGGACCAGAAGUGGUGAUGCUGGGUGGCUGGCAUGUGCUUGGCCUUCCUUAGCCAUCCUACCUGGACCCAGAAGAUGUCUCUGUCGCAAACAAGGAAGUGUGUGAGAAUGGCUUCCCCGAAAGUCGUGAACUUUCCAUGCACCUUGUGUAAGACUGGGCCAUCAAAGAACCUGACUCACUGAGGAUCUACUCUCCUCAGCCUCCCAGCUCCAGGUAUAAGACCUAGGAUGAUUGCAUGUCUUGUCUAUUGGGAAUAGUGUUGCAAUAAAUAUGAAUCUGCACACAUCUUUGCUGACCUCAGUUCCUCUGGAUAAAUACCCAGAUGGUGUAGCUGAAUCAAGGCGCUUACAGUUAAGAGUAUAUCUGGAUUCUCAAAGAAUAUGGUGGACUUGGACCUUUGAGCUAUGCUGGGAUUUUUUUACAAUUUUGAGAUCUUGAAGAAGAAUUAAAUACCUUUGCAGUCUGAAAUGGACAAAAGUCGGUAUGGACCAGGGAUGAAAUAUUAUUGUUUAAAGAUAAAGGGUUCUCUAAGACUCAUACUGAUCUCCAGUAUAGCAGAGCACAGCAGUAGGUCCUAGAGAUGUGACUGGAUCAAGCAGAGGUGACUUAAUCCAUUAAUUAGUUCAUUAGCUGACUGGGUUGUUAGGAGGUGGGGCCUAACUGGAGGGAGUAGGGUAGGGUGUGUGUCUUUGAAGGCUCUUUGAAGAGCUCCUCUCUGCUUCUUGAUUCUCAUGGUAAAGGAUUUCGCUCACCAUGCUCUUCAGAAAUGAUAUUUAUGACAGUCAGCUGACCAUGGACUAACACCUCUAAAAUCAUGGACCAAAAUAAAUCUUUAUUUCCCUAUAUAGUGUGUGUCAGAUGCUUAUCCUCACAAAUAGAUAAGCAUAUAUCAUAUCAAAUCUGAUAAAACCAAAUACCUGUACAUGACACAUUUGAGCUCACUGUAAUGCUACCCAAGUGACCCUUUAUGUCCCAUCUAGCCCAAAGAAACAAACAAACAAAAAAAAAUUAAAGAAAAUUCCUUUCCUAAAAUCUGCAUAAAACUGGAAGAGGUGGCUGUGGUGCUGCAUGAUCAGACAGCAAUUAGUGCCACACGAGCAGGAAACCCUGAAGGAAAAGAGAAAACUUCUAAAGUAGACUCUAGUUUGAAGGAAAUUAUGAAAUUUCUGUAAAGGAAUUCAAAAUAAUGAUCAAGCAAACUCAGUGAGAUGCAAGUGAAUACAGAUAGACAGUACUGAGAAAAUGAGAAAAUCAUUUUAAGAUAUGAAUAAAAAAUUCACUAUGGAGAUAAAUAAAGAGUCAUAAAUCCUGGAGCUAAAAUCUUCAGUGACUAAACAAUG